AAAGACCGAGAUCUUACAGGCUCUUGACACUCUUCGGAGGAGAUGGAGAAUCGAUGAUACUGUCGUGCCAAGAAAAGCCACUAAGUAUAUUGUAUGUUGCCCGUACCGUAAACCGACACAGGUGGGUGGGAUGAGUAUUCUAAGGCGCGUGGAAGAACCCUGGUUAAGGAACUCUGCAAACUAGCACCGUAUCUUCGGUAUAAGGUGUGCCUACUUUGGUAUAUGGGCUUGCCCCAAAAAUGCUAGAGAGGUUGCAACAAAGAGUCCCUCCCGACUGUUUACCAAAAACACAGCACUUUGCUAACACGUAAGUGGAUGUAUAAGGUGUGACGCCUGCCCGGUGCUCGAAGGUUAACUGAUGAUGUCAGCGCAAGCGAAGCAUUUGAUUGAAGCCCGAGUAAACGGCGGCCGUAACUAUAACGGUCCUAAGGUAGCGAAAUUCCUUGUCGGUUAAAUACCGACCUGCAUGAAUGGCGUAACGAGAUGGGAGCUGUCUCAACCAGGGAUCCAGUGAAAUUGUAGUGGAGGUGAAAAUUCCUCCUACCCGCGGAAAGACGGAAAGACCCCGUGCACCUUUACUACAGCUUGACACUGUAGCUUGGAUAUUCAUGUGCAGGAUAGGUGGGAGGCUAUGAUAUAUGGACGCAAGUACAUAUGGAGCCAUCCUUGAGAUACCACCCUUGAAUAUUUGAGUUACUAACUGCGACGAGUUAACCUCGUUCAAGACAAUGUCUGGUGGGUAGUUUGACUGGGGCGGUCGCCUCCUAAAAAGUAACGGAGGCUUACAAAGGUUAGUUCAAAGCGGUUGGAAAUCGCUUGUUGAGUAUAAUGGCAUAAACUAGCUUGACUGUGAGACAUACAAGUCGAACAGAGACGAAAGUCGGUCAUAGUGAUCCGGUGGUUCUGUGUGGAAGGGCCAUCGCUCAAAGGAUAAAAGGUACGCCGGGGAUAACAGGCUGAUCUCCCCCAAGAGCUCACAUCGACGGGGAGGUUUGGCACCUCGAUGUCGGCUCAUCGCAUCCUGGGGCUGUAGUCGGUCCCAAGGGUAUGGCUGUUCGCCAUUUAAAGCGGUACGCGAGCUGGGUUCAGAACGUCGUGAGACAGUUCGGUCCCUAUCUUCCGUGGGCGUAGGAAAGUUGAAGAGAUUUGUCCCUAGUACGAGAGGACCGGGAUGAACGUACCACUGGUGUACCAAUUGUUCUGCCAAGAGCAUCGUUGGGUAGCUACGUACGGAUGUGAUAAGAGCUGAAAGCAUCUAAGCUCGAAGCCAACUCUAAGAUGAACUUUCCCUGAAGUUCCCAGCAAGACUAGCUGGUUGAUAGGCUGGAUGUGUAAGCGUUGUAAGACGUUUGGCUGACCAGUACUAAUAGAACGUUUGGC
rnacentral:rRNA from 1 species